rnacentral:rRNA from 1 species
UACGGGAGGCAGCAGUGGGGAAUAUUGCACAAUGGGCGAAAGCCUGAUGCAGCUAUGCCGCGUGUAUGAAGAAGGCCUUAGGGUUGUAAAGUACUUUCAUCGGGGAGGAAAAAACAAAACUAAUAAUUUUAUUUCUUGACGUUACCCGAAAAAGAAGCACCGGCUAACUCCGUGCCAGCAGCCGCGGUAAUACGGAGGGUGCUAGCGUUAAUCAGAAUUACUGGGCGUAAAGAGCACGUAGGUGGUUUUUUUAAGUCAGAUGUGAAAUCCCUGGGCUUAACCUAGGAACUGCAUUUGAAACUGAAAUACUAGAGUAUCGUAGAGGGAGGUAGAAUUCUAGGUGUAGCGGUGAAAUGCGUAGAUAUCUGGAGGAAUACCUGUGGCGAAAGCGGCCUCCUAAACGAAUACUGACACUGAGGUGCGAAAGCGUGGGGAGCGAAACAGGGAUUAGAUACC